rnacentral:tRNA from 1 species
AUUACGUUAGUAUAACGAGUACACCUGCCUUCCAAGCAGAAAGUUUGACGCACAAACGUAAUA